CUGGGCGUUAAGUUGCAGGGUAUAGACCCGAAACCCGGUGAUCUAGCCAUGGGCAGGUUGAAGGUUGGGUAACACUAACUGGAGGACCGAACCGACUAAUGUUGAAAAAUUAGCGGAUGACUUGUGGCUGGGGGUGAAAGGCCAAUCAAACCGGGAGAUAGCUGGUUCUCCCCGAAAGCUAUUUAGGUAGCGCCUCGUGAAUUCAUCUCCGGGGGUAGAGCACUGUUUCGGCAAGGGGGUCAUCCCGACUUACCAACCCGAUGCAAACUGCGAAUACCGGAGAAUGUUAUCACGGGAGACACACGGCGGGUGCUAACGUCCGUCGUGAAGAGGGAAACAACCCAGACCGCCAGCUAAGGUCCCAAAGUCAUGGUUAAGUGGGAAACGAUGUGGGAAGGCCCAGACAGCCAGGAUGUUGGCUUAGAAGCAGCCAUCAUUUAAAGAAAGCGUAAUAGCUCACUGGUCGAGUCGGCCUGCGCGGAAGAUGUAACGGGGCUAAACCAUGCACCGAAGCUGCGGCAGCGACGCUGAUGCGUUGUUGGGUAGGGGAGCGUUCUGUAAGCCUGUGAAGGUGUGCUGUGAGGCAUGCUGGAGGUAUCAGAAGUGCGAAUGCUGACAUAAGUAACGAUAAAGCGGGUGAAAAGCCCGCUCGCCGGAAGACCAAGGGUUCCUGUCCAACGUUAAUCGGGGCAGGGUGAGUCGACCCCUAAGGCGAGGCCGAAAGGCGUAGUCGAUGGGAAACAGGUUAAUAUUCCUGUACUUGGUGUUACUGCGAAGGGGGGACGGAGAAGGCUAUGUUGGCCGGGCGACGGUUGUCCCGGUUUAAGCGUGUAGGCUGGUUUUCCAGGCAAAUCCGGAAAAUCAAGGCUGAGGCGUGAUGACGAGGCACUACGGUGCUGAAGCAACAAAUGCCCUGCUUCCAGGAAAAGCCUCUAAGCAUCAGGUAACAUCAAAUCGUACCCCAAACCGACACAGGUGGUCAGGUAGAGAAUACCAAGGCGCUUGAGAGAACUCGGGUGAAGGAACUAGGCAAAAUGGUGCCGUAACUUCGGGAGAAGGCACGCUGAUAUGUAGGUGAAGCGACUUGCUCGUGGAGCUGAAAUCAGUCGAAGAUACCAGCUGGCUGCAACUGUUUAUUAAAAACACAGCACUGUGCAAACACGAAAGUGGACGUAUACGGUGUGACGCCUGCCCGGUGCCGGAAGGUUAAUUGAUGGGGUCAGCGCAAGCGAAGCUCUUGAUCGAAGCCCCGGUAAACGGCGGCCGUAACUAUAACGGUCCUAAGGUAGCGAAAUUCCUUGUCGGGUAAGUUCCGACCUGCACGAAUGGCGUAAUGAUGGCCAGGCUGUCUC
rnacentral:rRNA from 1 species